rnacentral:rRNA from 1 species
GAUGAACGCUGGCGGCGUGCCUAAUACAUGCAAGUCGAGCGAACAGACGAGGAGCUUGCUCCUCUGACGUUAGCGGCGGACGGGUGAGUAACACGUGGAUAACCUACCUAUAAGACUGGGAUAACUUCGGGAAACCGGAGCUAAUACCGGAUAAUAUAUUGAACCGCAUGGUUCAAUAGUGAAAGACGGUUUUGCUGUCACUUAUAGAUGGAUCCGCGUCGCAUUAGCUAGUUGGUAAGGUAACGGCUUACCGAGGCAACGAUGCGUAGCCGACCUGAGAGGGUGAUCGGCCACACUGGAACUGAGACACGGUCCAGACUCCUACGGGAGGCAGCAGUAGGGAAUCUUCCGCAAUGGGCGAAAGCCAGACGGAGCAACGCCGCGUGAGUGAUGAAGGUCUUCGGAUCGUAAAACUCUGUUAUUAGGGAAGAACAAAUGUGUAAGUAACUAUGCACGUCUUGACGGUACCUAAUCAGAAAGCCACGGCUAACUACGUG